rnacentral:lncRNA from 1 species
GAACUAGAGAUAAGGAUUCAGUCAGCAAUAAAUAUUUUUUAAGAUUUUUAAUCAAUCCCACUUAAACUAUAUGGAUUAAUGUGGGCAGGGCACUGUGUUAAGUACUGGAGAUAAACAGAUCAGCACAGUAGGCAAGACUUCUGACCACAUGGACCUGAUGCUCCAGCCAGAGUCAUUAGCAGGAACAGCCUCCUGUGAAGGCCACUUCAGAGGUAGAGGCCCACCCAGCAGGAGCAGGCCCUACUAGAGCCCCGUUCACAGCCAAGCGUUUUGUGAUUUUCCCUUUGACCUCCUCUUGCACCAGCAUGCCUCAUUCCAUCAGUCUUUCCCUGUGCCAAGAAAACUCCGGUGAAGAAAUGGGAUUUGAAGAAAAUACCAAAUUUCGCCCCAGGACAUGCAUUGACAGAACUGAUGGAUCCCAAGUUGUGUGUCAAAGUUGAAGCUGCACCCCAGGGCUAUUUGAUUCCCUCCCAGCCUUAUUUCUCCAUAAAAUUGGUAGCUGUUUGCAUACGAUUACAGAUGACAAAAUAAAGAAAGGUUACAGGAUCUGAGACAGCUUUGCCAAGAAACUUGAAAUAUUCGGGGACCCCCUAAUGUCCCAGCAGGCCCCAAGGUGAAGCAGUCACUGUGGCCAAACCUGCUGUGCCAGAUUUAUUCUAAAUUCUGAAACCUCCAUGCUGAGAGGUGGAACUCUGUCUCUUGUUAAAAGUGUCCCAUGUGCUCUUUGUUUUAGAUCCCAGUGCUUUGGAGAUGUUUAGGCUACUGGAUUUUCACCAGCACAGAGAGAACUUCGUAGAAUUGCUAGGAAAUGGAGCCAGCUCUCUAUGUACAGGGAAUUUUCCACAGCGUCCUUGCCAGAAAGGGAGCAUGAGCUCAGGUUACGAAGGGAAAAGAUUUUCGAAGGGCUCCAUUCAGAGCUGGGCGCUGGGCAACCGCUUCCUGCAGGGAACCAGCUUUUGUGCUCAAAAAGACUCGUGGAAGUAGCCAAGGUUCUCUGACCAGAACUGCUAGAUUUGAAAAAUUCCAACUGGCUGGGAAUCUUGCCGGAGAAAGUUGGGUCUAGCUUCAGCUCUGUGAAGUAACAUUGCUGCAUGUGCAAUGCCUUCUUCUUGGCGUCAGGUCAUUGAGGUCAUUUUACUCACCAGUGGCCUGUGACCCAAGCAGAAGCUGGAAAAUGAAUCCAUGACCUGAAAUUAAAAAAGAAUCUUCCAUUGGCCAAACACCGGAUUCCUCAGAGCAUCCCCAAGAGCUGUUGAACUUGUUCUACCCAGCUCAGCAUUGCAUGGAACAGGCAAGCAGUUGGUGGUGACGAAUGGAAAAGAGG